AUUGAACGCUGGCGGCAGGCCUAACACAUGCAAGUCGAACGAGUGGCGGACGGGUGAGUAAUGUCUGGGAACCUGCCCGAUGGAGGGGGAUAACUACUGGAAACGGUAGCUAAUACCGCAUACCAUCGGAUGUGCCCAGAUGGGAUUAGCUUGUAGGUGCGGUAACGGUUCACCUAGGCGACGCUCCCUAGGUGGGCUGAUAGGAUGAACAGCCACACUGGAACUGGGACACGGUCCAGAAUCCUACGGGAGGCAGCGGUGGGGAAUAUGGGACAAUGGGGGCAAGGAUGAUGGAGCCAUGCCGCGGGUAUGAAGAAGGCCUGGGGGUUGUAAAGUACUUUAAGCGGGGAGGCGUUACCCGAAGAAGAAGCACAGGAUAACUCCGUGCCAGCAGCCGCGGUAAUGC
rnacentral:rRNA from 1 species